rnacentral:tRNA from 1 species
GCCGCUGUGGCGGAACUGGUAUACGCGCACGACUCAAAAUCGUGUCUCUUUUUAGGGAUGUCGGUUCGACUCCGACCAGCGGCA